AGAAAAUAAAGGACACAAUAACACGUUGAUCGGUAUAACUUUAAUGUCAUAACUUGAGCUACAAUUAUCGGAUUAAGGCAUGCGAAUAUGCGUUGGAAAGCUAAAACGAAGAGCUACAACUUUUAUUUUGAAGCCAGGAGCUAAUUCAUAAGCCACAUCGUGCCACAAUGGACUACAAUCGUGCCAUGAUGAAGAGGCGGAUCCAGAUUUUUUUGUUGGUGGAGGCUAAAAAAUAUUGCAACAAAUAAAAAUAUUUUUUUAUGAUGUUUGGCUUUUGUUACCACGUUAUAGAUAUAAAAUUUCCGCUAUGAUUUAAUGAUGAUUAAUUUUCGUCGUAGAACUUCUUGAAUACAAAAUGUGAUUUCACCUCUU